rnacentral:rRNA from 1 species
GAUGAACGCUGGCGGCGUGCCUAAUACAUGCAAGUCGAGCGAACAGAUGAGGAGCUUGCUCCUCUGACGUUAGCGGCGGACGGGUGAGUAACACGUGGAUAACCUACCUAUAAGACUGGGAUAACUUCGGGAAACCGGAGCUAAUACCGGAUAAUAUAUUGAACUGCAUGGUUCAAUAGUGAAAGACGGUUUUGCUGUCACUUAUAGAUGGAUCCGCGCCGCAUUAGCUAGUUGGUAAGGUAACGGCUUACCAAGGCAACGAUGCGUAGCCGACCUGAGAGGGUGAUCGGCCACACUGGAACUGAGACACGGUCCAGACUCCUACGGGAGGCAGCAGUAGGGAAUCUUCCGCUAUGGGCGAAAGCCUGACGGAGCAACGCCGCGUGAGUGAUGAAGGUCUUCGGAUCGUAAAACUCUGUUAUUAGGGAAGAACAAAUGUGUAAGUAACUAUGCACGUCUUGACGGUACCUAAUCAGAAAGCCACGGCUAACUACGUG